rnacentral:rRNA from 1 species
GACGAACGCUGGCGGCGUGCUUAAUACAUGCAAGUCGACUUGCUUUUGAUUAGCAAUAGUCAAAAGAGAGUGGCGCACGGGUGAGUAACACGUAGAUAAUCUACCCUCAGGACUGACAUAAUGUAGAGAAAUCUGCACUAAUAUCAGAUGAAACAAAAUCCUGGCAUCAGAGAUUUUGUCAAAGUUUUAACGCCUGAAGAUGAGUCUGCGGUCCAUUAGGUAGUUGGCGGUUUAACAGACCACCAAGCCGACGAUGGAUAGCUGGUCUGAGAGGAUGAUCAGCCACACUGGAACUGAGACACGGUCCAGACUCCUACGGGAGCAGCAGUAAGGAAUAUUGCUCAAUGGGAGAAAUCCUGAAGCAGCAACGCCGCGUGGAGGA